GAAUAAGUUGAUUGCAGGCAGUGAGGAUGAACCAGGAUCUGAAAUGAUAAGAGAAUUACUGACAAUGCAAAACCAAAUGAAAACAAACUAAUAGUGGGUGGAACGCAUGGCAGGAAACGUUGGAGGCGGGCGACUGAUGUCGGGCUUCAUUUGUGGACGUGGCGACUGCCGAUUCGCACCGCGAGUGCGCUGAAUGGCCACGGAUUGUGUGUGAGGGAGGCUGAAAAUGAUGAGAGGGUUGCUGCCGGUUCCCGCAUCUAUGCCUGUGGCGUCCCUGGUUUUCGGCCCUCGCUGGCGGAGGAGAGGAGGCCUGAGAUACCAAGAGUCUGAAUUUCAGCGUUUGUAGAAGUAAAAAAAAUAAAAAUAAACAUUAUCCCAAAAAAACUUGUGUUACUAAGAAGAUCAAGUAUGCAGUCCACGCUGCUACAAACUCCAACAGAGAAGCUUGUGUUUAAUCCCAUGAAAAGAUAUGAAUGACACUGUAACUGCAAAAUCGUCCAAGGAGAAAAAUCAUUUUAGAAAAUUGCUUGAAUUCUUGCAGGCCUGUUUCAUUGUCAUUAAGAGAUCACACAGAAUGGAGGGGAUGAGAUGAAUGUCUCCUUGUGCUUAGGGGGCAAGCGCAUAGCUUAUACAACGGCCUCAGAGGGCUUAUUCAUUUUGUCUCUGUUCCACCAACCUCUGCUUGUCCCUUUCUCUGCCUUUUAAAGGCACUGUGAGCAAUAGGGAAUGUGAAUAAAUCGAUCAGAAACUCUCAAGAGAAAUAUACUCAGACUCUCAUGUUGAUUUUCACGUUGACAAAUUUUGUCUGUUGUUUUCUCUGAUAUGGCAUCCACAGCACAGCCUUUUUUAGGAAGGGUAUGACUGCAAUAAUGUUUGAUUUUACCCUUAACAACUUCAAGAAGCAAUUAUUUUGUAUUCAUUGAGGGGAAAUAAAUGUUAUAUGCUGUGAUAGUGAGGAAGUGAACAGAUGUUGCCAUGAUCUUCAGCCAAGAUGGGCACAAUCUGUCGAUUCCGCUUCCAGUCACUCUCUUUCUCUCUCAUUGUUUCAUCCAGGCUUUUGUUGCCCAACAGCGGCUUAAAUUAGAUCAAUGUCCAGUGUUUUGCUCUGAUGAUUAGCUCAUAAGCUACUGCAGACGCCCAUGAUCACUGAAGCAUGAGUGGAACAAGAUACAGCAGAGAGAGUGACUAGUUGUCAUGCACAAGUCCUCCUAUGGCCAUCUGUUCCUGGAUGUAAAAUCACUCUAUGUAGCAUACAACAUAUCCCAGGGUGCCACACAUACAGCCACCAAGGAAACAGAAACUGUGUAACUACUUAUUUAGUCAACGUUAUACACAGGUCCACCUGCAUGGCUACACUGAUGAAUUUAUGAAGAAAAAACAAUCGUGUGGUCUGAAACACGGGAUUUGACCCAAGUUUAUACACAUUGAUACAUUGGGCUGGUUAUCAUACCAGUACCAAUACUAGGACCCUUAAAGUGAUAUCGAUACUUUAAACAAUACUUUUUUUUUCUACUUCAUUACAUAUCCAUCAUACGUCAGCAUUCAGUUGAGUGAAAUACCCUCACAACUUCUCCACAUCAAGAUGAUUUUUACACACAUUUUGAAAGUGUUCAAAAUAUUGAAAAUAUGUAUUAACUAACUCUACAAAGCUGUCCAAUGAAGUAUUCAUUGUCAGCUUCUUGAAAUAAACCACACUCGACCUCACCACAA
rnacentral:lncRNA from 1 species